rnacentral:tRNA from 1 species
GCCCACGUGGCGGAAUCGGUAGACGUUGCGGACUUAAAAUCCGUUGAUCAAUUAAGAUCGUGGGAGUUCAAGUCUCCCCGUGGGCA